rnacentral:misc_RNA from 1 species
GAUGAAGAACGUAGCGAAAUGCGAUAAGUAAUGUGAAUUGCAGAAUUCAGUGAAUCAUCGAAUCUUUGAACGCAUCUUGCGCUCCUUGGUAUUCUGAGGAGCAUGCCUGUUUGAGUGUCAUUAAAUUCUCAACUACACUGACUUUGAAUUGGUGUGGCUUGGAUUUGGGGGGAAAAUUGUUGUGGGCUUUUUUGUAUAGUCUGCUCCCCUGAAAUUGAUUAGCGGUACCUUUGUGGAACUGUCUACAGGUGUGAUAAUUAUCUACAUCCUAGACAUCUGCUGGAAUGCUGCUUUCUAAACCUUACUUGUAUUGACAAUCUUGACCUCAAAUCAGGUAGGACUACCCGCUGAACUUAAGCAUAUCAAUAAGCGGAGGA